UUUUUCAUCGUGUAACAACUUACAACCAUAGAAAUGAGAUGUUGGUUCAACUAAAAGUGCUUUAUUGAAAGAAGAAAAUUUUUCAUGGUCUAAAUACUACUACAAUACUAGAAGCAGCACUAUUAAAGACAGUUCAUCAGUUGAAGCUCAAGAAUCACUAAUAAAUUCCAGGGACUACCCGGUAAGGCACCUUUUCACAAUACUUUUUCCAGUAUUUGCCAUACUUUGACUUGCACCUUUCGUCAUCCCUUUUGGCUCGAUCCAAAAGGAGGCCCGUCAGAUAGAUUACAUAGAUGUAGGGCAUGAAAUGGUUGAGAAGAGCUGGCACACUCCAGAAAAACGAAGCUAGUAUUUCUGGAACAUAAUGGAAAUGCCGCGAUAAGCCCCACCAUCCAGAUGCCAGGAGAAUGCUGGUUUUAGUUUCGCCAGUUGUAGUAGUGUAUGAGGCGACAAUCUUUGAAGGAGCCUUUCCCCAGACAAGGGCUUUGCCAUUUGUUCUGCGGAACUCUUGCCUCUGUCUGUCACAAUCAUAGUUUAUGUAUACGCAGAGAAUACCAGCUACUAGGAUAGAAAUUGCAAGCUGAGGUCCAAGAUUUACAGGAUGUUUGACAAGGUACAUGCCAGGAGAAGUGUACAUACAUGGAAGAAAUACCAAGCAACCCCAGCAUAUGUAAAAACCGGCUCUGUCAUGAGCAAUAUCCAUGGUGUUCCAGUAACCUGCUUCCCACCAAAAGAAUUUCGUGACAUACACCAACGUUAUUAUGGUAUGUAUAAGCAUGGAAUCAGAGAGACUUCCAUAUUCUUCAUACUGCUUUAUACAGUAGGUAAUAGGGAGGAGUCCCCAAGAUAUCAUGCCAAAUCUGCAGUUUGUGAAGACCUUGAUAUCAAAGUGUUUGCCAAUGCGAGGAUACAACUCCAUCCCCCAAUAGUAGUCAACUAUUAUGUUCCCUGAUG
rnacentral:misc_RNA from 1 species